CGAAGGUCUCAGAUCCUAUCUGAAGGGCUCACGCUUGUCUCUUUUUUUACCCCAAAGAGAAGCACGUCACAGAAAGUCACCCUGGCGGUGUCUACGGCUAAGAGCUGGCUCCCGUGGCUGAGUGACUCAGAACCGGAGGCCGGGCGACAGCCCCUGAGACUCGGUGACCAGCACAGGGUGAAGCGGCUUCUCUCUCUGACUGUCGGACGCCCCCGGGCUUGGGAUGGAGAGAAAUGGCAGACUCACAGCCUCUCAUUUCUGGAGGGUUCUCCGGAGGCCAUCGAAUCCCCUGGACAGGACGUCCCCUUCACUUCAUGCCAGCCCCGAGAGCUCACUGGUCACUUCCACGCUGUGCCCACUUCAUUAAUUAAAGGGUCAGUGUGGCGGGCUUAUGGGAAGGCCGCCAUGAUCACCAGUGGGCAGAGCUGGGAACGGGUUCCACCAUUCUCUGAAACGGUUUGGAAUGAUCUGAGAAAAGUGAUUCAAUGGGUACUCUGUUUUGUUCCAGCAAUCCAAGCCUCUGGCAUCUACUCCAAGAAUAUCCAAGAAGAGGGAAUUUCCCCGUCAAAAUAUUCAUUUUUGCACUUUGUGGGGUAAUCAAAUGGGUGUCCAUUGAUUGACAUUGUAUUCCUAAUUUCUCAGCUGGGUCACUCAGUGGAUGGAGGGCCAGGCCUAGAGACGGAAGGUCCUGGGUUCAAAUCUGCCCUCAGUCACUUCUUAGCUUUGUGACCUUGGGCAAGUCACUUAAUGCUAGCCCUUACCUUCUUCUGCCUUGGAGCCGAUACACAGUAUUGACUCCAAGACGGAAGGUGAGGGUCUAAAAAAAUGUAAUAUAAGGGAAUACUAUCGUGUCAUUAUAUAUAUUGCAUCAUUUUAUGUGUGAUCUAUAAGGGAAUGCCAUUGCAUCCUGAGAAAUAUUUCAGAGAAACUUGAGAAGAUUUGAAUGAAAGGAUGCAGAGUGAAGAGAAUGGAAUAAAAAGUAUCCAAAAUGAUCACAAAUAAUAAAGUAAGACGACGUUAAUAGGAAAUCAAGCAUUGUUUAAAAGCAACAAUCAGAUAGUUUUAUCUCCAUUUUGACUUCGGGUUAGUCAUCACCCAACUCAAUCACCAGCCUGACUCACAGAUGGCCCUGAGUAGUGGGUGCUGCUUCCCCAAAUCUAUGCUCACAUCAAUUCAAUUCAGGCAGCAUUUCUCAUUCGCCUUCUGUGCCACAAACACUGCGCUAGGCUCUGAGGACGGGACGCGGCCCUCCAGGAAUGUCGAGCCAUUGAUCUCCGGGCUGAGCUCUGUCCUCGAGGACCCUCUUCACCAAGAGGCAGCUCCCCAACAGGGCUUUCCUCUCCUUCUCAGGCGAUGGUUGCAAUGAGGACCCAUCCUGCCACAAUGAAAAAGGUGCCCAACUCAGGUGGAUCCGCCUUUCCACACUGGGCACCCAAACAGAUAAACCAGGAAUUGUUUUUCUAAAGGAAUCAGCUUUCACACAGGUGCCAGAGGGGUGCGGAAAGCAUUUUGCUAAUGGUGUGACCCCUAGUCCAAGCCAAAGAAUGCUGAAGGGUGGACCCCAUCUAGGCCAAGUGGAAGGGGAAAGGCGUUGGGUCUCCACCUCCCUGGGGACUGGCCGUUGACCAAGGCUCCCCCUUGAGAAUGUCAACAUGUCCAAGGUCCCCAGUCCUGUUCAUUUCAUCACAAGCAUUUCAGGGUGGGGCUGGUGUGAAAACAAACAGGGAAAACAAAACUAGGGGUGUGUUGAAACCCUUGAAAUCCAUUCCUCGCCACUCCUUCUCAAGACUCGGGGGCCCUCAGUGUGUCAGCUCAGGGACUUUGGAGUAUAGUCACCAAUGGCCUUCCUGGGACCCAGGCAAAGGGUGAAGGUGGCUUCCUGGCUUGUUUCUGUCUGUCUUUGUUCCUUCUCUCUGCCUCUUUGUGGCGUUAUGGCUUCCCAGACAAAAGAAUCCCUGACCUUCUCGGGCUCUAAUUACCUGGUUAUUUUGACACCUCAGGUUUCUUGCAUCAUCUCCUAACUCUUUGUUUUGUCAGGGAUCCUGCACUGGGGUGUAUCCAUGCACAGGGGAGAGGCUGCUGACAGGAAACGUGUCCCAACAGUCAGGGAAAUUUUGGUCAGGGGGAAGAGAUCUGGGGGUGUAAGGGGUGGGGCUGGCCCAAGGAAGCAGGAAGAAAUGAGCAGACCUAAAGAAGGAAGGGAGGGGUGGGGGUACAGAAUGACUGGGGAAAUAGCCUGGCAAGAUUGGUGAGACACAGUGUCUCCACUGUUGGUAUCAACGGAACCAAAGUAGAUAAGGAAAGCCAUGUGGCAGAAACCCAAAGACUAGGCAGCUCCAGGUUCUUGGCCAACUGCAGAACAAGGUCAAGAAUAGUGAACAUCUCUGUGCCUCAGUUUCUUCCCCUUAAGGAUCAGGUUUCUCUUGGUUUUCUGACAAGAACAAAACAGCUUUGAUUUAAAGGAGAAGAGAAAAUUAAAUGGCAUGCCAUUGGCAAAUAGGAUGUCUCAUUGAAAAGCUUCAUACUAAAAUACCAAUAAGUAUAAUCUAUCUAUCUAUCUAUCUAUCUAUCUAUCUAUCUAUCUAUCUAUCUAGCAAUCAAUCUACCCAUCCAUCCAUCCAUCCAUCCAUCCAUCCAUCCAUCCAUCUAUGCUACUCAUUGGGAAUAGUGAGGCUAGGUCCAAAUGGAACCCUUAAAGCUCUCUGGUUCCCUUCCAUGAUCCCUUUUCUUGGUAUAAUAGGGAAAUCUGUCAAGACAAUGAAAACUGUGAAGUAUUAGAAUUGAAGUAUUAGGUUGAUGCUUGAGAGAGUGGGACUUUAGUCCAUCUUCUUCCUGCCGUUAUUCCAUAAGACUUGUAAAAACUUCUCCUCUCACCAAGGAAAGGAGAGAUGACCAGAACUCCAGAAAAAAAUAAGCCUAACCCCUAUCCCUCCCCAUCAAUUAGGCAGCAAGAAGGUAUUCAGGACCACCAAAGACAUGGUGCCAUCUUCCCAUCUCCCUGAUUCUUCCAUUAAGUACAGAGUUGGAAAAUAUCAAUUAUUAUAGAAAGCUGUCCCAAUUUAAAGUUUUCUUUCAGUCUUUUUAUUUGUUUGGCUUUUGUUUCUUAAUUUAGAUCUAUGAAUUCGUUAACAUGGAGAAUUCUCCAUGUGGAUAUGUUUCACACAUGCACACUCCUUUGAAACUUUUGAUCUUUGAAAAUUUCCUACAGAGGUUGAUAGUUUAUGUUACAAACACAAGAUCACAUUGUCAGGAUGUGUGACUUGAAUCCAAUUCUUCUUAGCUCCAAGGUUAGCUCCCACCCAACCCUAUACUUUGUGUAUAGAUGCACACAAUUAUUAGUUCAUCUCUCCUUUGGAAAAAAUUAGUAACUCUGCUCCUUGUUUCUUCUAGAUUUUGUACUCAGAAUAUAGUACAUCAAAGAUUUGUGAUUUCUCAGCACAGGGAGCUGGAAACUUACCUUUAAUUUGGCAGAGUUGCUACUUUAUUACACUGACAUCACAAUCCUGCCUAAGCUUCUUGAGGAGAUGGAAAUGGAACUGAAAAAAAAUUCAGUAAACAAAGAUGGGGAAAGAAGUUGAAAUAAACCAAGUACACACAUAGAAGACCCAUACUAGUUGUAACACAGGUUUGAGGAUGUCGAAGGAUGUAUUUUCAAGAUAUUUGAAGGAAGAGAGCAUACCAAAGGGAUUUUAUGCUCCCAGAAGACUUCCAGGACCUUGAUCAUACCCACUAAGCUGUUGCCCAGGAUUUAUCCGAUCUAUGAGGAAAGGAAGAAAAGAGAAAUCUCUCAUCAGCUUCAGCAAGUUGGUUCCAAUGGCCACUCUUGGGAUAGCAGGAAGAGCACCAGAAUGAGAGGGAGAGACCCUCAGAAGUAGAAGGGACAUCAGAUGAUUCUAAUCUAAAUUGGAGAGAAACAGACUUUACAGCCUCCCUAAUAAGUCUUCAUGUGACUAGCCUUGAGAACAAACUGAUUUCCUGCUAAAGCAAUCCAUUCCACUUUGGGGCAACAUAAGUUGUGAGGGAGUUUUUCUUUCUAUUGAGACAAACUCUGCUUCCCUUUCAAGACACUUUAGUUGGAAUGGACAGAACUUCCUGGAGAGAAAGUGACUCUCCAAACAUUGAAGAUCUUUAAGACAAGGAUUGAUGGCCUCUGAUAGGAGAUUCUUUUUUAUUUUAUUUUUAUUGUCAUGCAAAACACACUUCUGUAUUGGUCAUCGUUGCAAGAGCAAACUCAUCCAUAACCAAAAAACCCAAAAUAAAACCAAAGAUACACUGGUGUGAAUGAUGACUCCAACAGUUCUUUCUCUGGAAGUAGACAGCAUUCUGGGUCAUAAGUCCUUCAGGAUUGUCCCAGAUCACCGAAUUGCUGAAAGUAGCCAAGUUUUCACAGAUACUCAUCACCCACUAUUGAUGUUACUGUGUACAAUGUUCUCCCGUUCUGCUUACUUCACUCUGCAUCAGUUCCUGUAGAUCUUUCCAGCUUUUCCUGAAACCAUCUUACUCAUCAUUUCUGAGAGCACAAUAGUAUUCUGUUACCGACAUGUACCACAAUUAAUUCAGCCUUUCCCCAAUUGAUAGACAUCCCCUCAAUUUCCAUUUCCUGGCCACCCCAGAAGGAGCUGCUAUCAAUAUUUUUGUACAUGUAGAUCCUUUCCCCUUUGUUAUUCUUAUUGGAGAUUCUUGAUCAAAUAAAAUAAUAAUAA